rnacentral:tRNA from 1 species
GCUUUAGUGUUGUAAUUGGAAACAAACACCUCUUCUAAAGGUGAAUUCUGGGUUCAAGUCCCAGCUAGAGCU